GACGGGGGAUGCGAGCGUUAUCCGGAAUGAUUGGGCGUAAAGGGUCCGCAGGUGGCCCGGUCAGUCCGCUGUCAAAGCCUGGGGCUCAACCCUGGAGAGGCGGCGGAGACCACCGGGCUUGAGUCCGGUAGGGGCAGAGGGAAUUCCCGGUGGAGCGGUGAAAUGCGUAGAUAUCUGGAGGAACACCGGUGGCGAAGGCGGCGUCCUGGACCAAUACUGACACUGAGGGGCGAAAGCCAGGGGAGCAAACGGG
rnacentral:rRNA from 1 species